rnacentral:rRNA from 1 species
UACGGAGGGUGCAAGCGUUAUCCGGAUUCACUGGGUUUAAAGGGUGCGUAGGUGGGUUGAUAAGUCAGUGGUGAAAUCCCCGAGCUUAACUUGGGAACUGCCAUUGAUACUAUUGAUCUUGAAUACUGUGGAGGUCAGCGGAAUAUGUCAUGUAGCGGUGAAAUGCUUAGAUAUGACAUAGAACACCAAUUGCGAAGGCAGCUGGCUACACAUAUAUUGACACUGAGGCACGAAAGCGUGGGGAUCAAACAGG